rnacentral:rRNA from 1 species
UUUGAUGGCGACCGGCGCACGGGUGAGUAACACGUAUCCAACCUGCCGAUGACUCGGGGAUAGCCUUUCGAAAGAAAGAUUAAUACCCGAUGGCAUAGUUCUUCCGCAUGGUAGAACUAUUAAAGAAUUUCGGUCAUCGAUGGGGAUGCGUUCCAUUAGGUUGUUGGCGGGGUAACGGCCCACCAAGCCUUCGAUGGAUAGGGGUUCUGAGAGGAAGGUCCCCACAUUGGAACUGAGACACGGUCCAAACUCCUACGGGAGGCAGCAUG